CCUACGGGAGGCAGCAGUGAGGAAUAUUGGUCAAUGGGCGCGAGCCUGAACCAGCCAAGUAGCGUGAAGGAUAACUGCCCUACGGGUUGUAAACUUCUUUUAUAAAGGAAUCAAGUGAGGCACGUGUGCCUUUUUGUAUGUACUUUAUGAAUAAGGAUCGGCUAACUCCGUGCCAGCAGCCGCGGUAAUACGGAGGAUCCGAGCGUUAUCCGGAUUUAGUGGGUUUAAAGGGAGCGUAAGUGGUUUGUUAAGUCAGUUGUGAAAGUUUGCGGCUCAAACGUAAAAUUGCAAUUGAUACUGGCAGUCUUGAGUACAGUUGAGGUAUGCGGAAUUCGUGGUGUAGCGGUGAAAGGCUUAGAGAUCACGAAGAACUCCGAUUGCGAAGGCAGCUUACUAAACUGCCACUGACAUUGAUGCUCGAAAGUGUGGGUAUCAAACAGGAUUAGAUACCCCUGUAGUC
rnacentral:rRNA from 1 species